rnacentral:ncRNA from 1 species
AAGGCCUGAUGUGUGUGAGAUUACCCGCUGAAUUUAAGCAUAUAAGUAAGCGGAGGAAAAGAAACUAACUAGGAUUCCCUUAGUAAUGGCGAAUGAACAGGGAUCAGCUCAGUGCCAAAUCGGAAUCACUUGUGGUUCUGAAAUGUGGCUUGAAGGCAGUACCAGUGGCAUCGCGGACGAAAGUCUCUUGGAAAAGAGCGUCAUAGAGGGUGAGAAUCCCGUGAGUCGUUCGCCGUUUGUCACGUACGGUCUGCGUUCUAACGAGUCGCGUUCCUUGGGAUUGGAGCGUAAACGGGUGGUAAAUUUCAUCCAAAGCAAAAUAUAUACUCGAGACCGAUAGCACAAAAGUACCGUGAGGGAAAGGUGAAAAGAACUUUGAGAAGAGGGUUAAAUAGUGCCUGAAAUCGUUGAGAAGGAAGCGGAUGCCGCCGUUGCAUAUGCUGAUUGUAGGAUUGCUGCUCGCUCCUGUCUUCUGCUACUCAUUCACAGACCUGGUCGUGUUGAGCAGUUGUUUGGCAGAUGUUAGUGGUGUUUCCUACUUUCAGUCGUCAGCAUCACUGGCUGAGUGGAAAUAAUCC